CGGACCUCAUCAGCUUUGCGGCCGCUGACCGGUCCCAACUGGGUGAAGGGGAGCUGCUCCUCGACAACGAAGCCUCCAACCUGGGCUCCUUCAACCUGGACCCUCUGCCAGGAGAUGCACAGAGUGGUCCGGCUGCGGAUGCAACGAUCCAUUCUCACGAGUCUCAAGAAAGUGAGGACCACGAAGUAGAGUCAGAGGAGGCGCUCUCAUCCCAAGGGUGAAGGGGCUGAUGACCUGCUUUGGAUCCUCCCACAGCUCUCUAGGCAUGUGAAGAGGACUGCUGCCCACCCACCAUCCCUCCCUCCAUCGCCACCUGCCUCACUGAUGACCUUGUGGUGCCCCAAAUGGGGAGCGAACCCAUGCCCGCCCUUGCGCCAUGCUUCCUCCUGCACUUUCCUGCCUGCACAGCAUUGCCCGCCUGGAUCCCCAAUCGAGACGCCUCCCUUCACGCCUUUCUCCUCCGUCCAGAGAUUAGUGGUCUCAGCGUAUGCAUGCAAUGCAAAUGUAGGGGUGCAGUGGACGCCACAUGGGGACCCUCACACUGGCCCAUUCCUUCCUUGCGCUCCUUUCAAGCCCCUACAUUAUAGCCUCUCAAGGCAUGCUCAAAAGCCCCUUAGCUAGAGGUCAUCUAGUCUGACCCUCGGACACAACCCAAAGACCUCUUUACCCACUCAGCUAAAGGUCAUCUGGUCUGACCCUUGGACAAGACCCAAAGGCCUCUUCGUCCACUUAGCUAAAGGUCAUCUAGUCCAAAAACCCAAGGUCCCUAUGCCCACUUAGCUAAAGGUCAU